UCCGCUCAGGGCACAUCCUGCCUCAGCAGCCACACCUCUCCCUCCAAGCACAGAGCUUGCUGCCCCACCCCCGUACAAUGAACGAGCAUGCCAAGGAGAGGAGCUCCAUGUGUAUGGGAGACCAGCCGCUCCCCAAUCUUCAGAUCUGACCAACGUGGGAGGAAUUGUUGGAGAACAACCAAAUCCAAACGCCUCACCGAAGUUUGCAAUGGAUCAACCUUGAAGACACUCGGAACAUUUACUUCGAGUGAAGACUCUCGCGGCGCAAUUGCCACUGCCCCGACCUCGCCGAUUGUUUACCUCGCUGGCUUGACAGCGGCCUUUGUGAUUUUGAACAUAUGUGCUACUCUCCUGGACACCGCCGACUCAGGUCCUACUCUCCUGGACGCCGCCAACUCAGGUUAUAUCUACAUGUAGCGUUGGAGAAUAUUAUGCUGAAUGGGCCAUAUCGGUCUUUUUCUGCACGCAUUAUUAUAUCCUCUUCUUAUCUCCCCCGCUUGUGCCACCGGAGAAUAUCAAGGAUGUGGCAUCGGCACUGAGCCGCCACUGGUAGGCAAGGGCAUGUGGCCUGGCCAUGAACGAUGAGAUUGGGGUCGGCACACACCAAAGCGACACACAGAGGCAGAGUUCUAUAAAAAAAAAGAAAUCCAUCUAAUUCUACUUGACAACCUUCCAACACGAGGUAACAUCAUUUGUGGCAUGGGUAUAUCUUAUAUCUACUAAAUAUCACUUCUAGAUAUUGGUGUUACGUACCAAGUGCAUCUAUAUUGCCAAUGCUUCUGCGCUUUUGAUAAUUAGUCAAUAUUUUCAUGUAUUUGUUACAACAGCAUGGUGUUAGCAAGCGUAUUGUCUUGUGAAAAAUUGAUGAUUGCAUCUGCACUUCGUAUCUAAUUGUGUUAUUUCAGAGCUAAUAUUUUUACUAAUUAUUCUAUUCUUUCCACUUCUUGUAUAAACAGACCAGGACCAGUAUUCUGAACCUCAUACCAUUAAGAUAAUCAGCUAAGUUUUUUUAUAGAUGCACUAACUGAUUGCUAAUUUCAGCUUUGUUCUUCAUUACUGCAGGGCAUAUCUGUAUUCUAAAGAAAAUUCGUACACCUGGUAAUUCUUUCUUGACAUGGCUAUUCCAUCGAGGUUUAAUCCUAUGAUACACAACUAAUAGUUUGUUGGUAUGCAUAACUAUCUUGCCAAAGUUGCAGGUUAUUCCUUUGAAUGAUCUAAGAAAUAUAUUUGGAUUAGGGAAGCAUGAAGCACAAGCAAUCACCUCAGAUAUUGAAUCUCGAGCAUACAGAAAUAAGCUUAUAAAAUCCUUUAGUACUGAUUUGGCUGCUGCUCCUAACAAAGCAUCAUUCCUCCAAAAUCUCUGUCAGGAGUUACAGUUUGAUCCUGAACUUGCUAGCAAGAUGCAUAAAGAUACCAAGCUGACACUUGUUUUUUGUAUUACAUCAUUAAUUUUACAGCAUAGUUCUAUGUUAGCUCAAAAUUUGAUCUUGCUCCUGCUAGCAAGAUGUGUACCAUAUUAGCUACAGUUUGAAGGAUAUAAUCCUUUUGUUUCAAGACUGAUGGUUAAACAUUCCUCCAAUGUGAAAGUUAUUAUUUUCUGUUCAAAUUUCUUCGUUACA